rnacentral:lncRNA from 1 species
GAUAAUUUUAUAAUUCAUGCAGAUGACUGGCCUAAAAAUGAUGACCCUCUUUUGUACUAUUACUUCAUGCUGAGGACAAAGAGGAUACAGGAAAAUUACUCCUUGGCCCAGGAAGUUUAUUAAAAUGCUAAAUGAAGAUCUGGCGGCAGCUCAAAGAACUUUAAAUAACCUUGUGGUGGAAAACCUCCAAAACCUCUUUUUACCGUCAGCUUAAACUAGGCUGGCUGUGACAAAGAGUAAGAAAAUAAGUAGUUUCAAGAGUGCAAAAACACAUCUAUUUUUAAAAGUCCCCUGGCUCCUCCUGAAUCUCAUGCAAAAGGCUGGAACUCUCAAUCCCUGACAGCUUCUGGAUCCUUCCUUCAGCAUCAAACUGCAAGAUGGCAGCCUUCUGGCUAGACUACAACCAGUCUCAGUGAUGUGUACAUGUGUGCUAAGUCGCUUCAGCCAUCUCCUGAAUUGUACUUCAGGUUUAAGUAUUGCAUCGGGCAUUUGAGUGCUUGUCAAUUUGGAUUGGUCUCAUUGCCUUCUUAUAAUUAGAUUCAGGCUAAACUGGGACUUGGAGAACUGAAGCAGGAGUACUACACAGAUGACUUCGUGUGCAGU